rnacentral:rRNA from 1 species
AACGAACGCUGGCGGCAGGCUUAACACAUGCAAGUCGAACGGGCGCAGCAAUGCGUCAGUGGCAGACGGGUGAGUAACACGUGGGAACCUUCCUUAAGGUACGGGACAACUCAGGGAAACUUGAGCUAAUACCGUAUACGUCCGUGAGGAGAAAGAUUUAUCGCCUUUAGACGGGCCCGCGUCGGAUUAGCUAGUUGGUGAGGUAACGGCUCACCAAGGCUGAGAUGGUUAGCUGGUCGAGAGGAUGGCCAGCCACACUGGGACUGAGACACGGCCCAGACUCCUACGGGAGGCAGCAGUGGGGAAUAUUGCGCAAUGGGCGAAAGCCUGACGCAGCGACGCCGCGUGGGUGAUGAAGGCCUU